CCUGAUGCAGCCAUGCCGCGUGUAUGAAGAAGGCCUUCGGGUUGUAAAGUACUUUCAGCGGGGAGGAAGGGAGUAAAGUUAAUACCUUUGCUCAUUGACGUUACCCGCAGAAGAAGCACCGGCUAACUCCGUGCCAGCAGCCGCGGUAAUACGGAGGGUGCAAGCGUUAAUCGGAAUUACUGGGCGUAAAGCGCACGCAGGCGGUUUGUUAAGUCAGAUGUGAAAUCCCCGGGCUCAACCUGGGAACUGCAUCUGAUACUGGCAAGCUUGAGUCUCGUAGAGGGGGGUAGAAUUCCAGGUGUAGCGGUGAAAUGCGUAGAGAUCUGGAGGAAUACCGGUGGCGAAGGCGGCCCCCUGGACGAAGACUGACGCUCAGGUGCGAAAGCGUGGGGAGCAAACAGGAUUAGAUACCCUGUAGUCCACGCCGUAAACGAUGCGACUUGGAGGUGUGCCCUUGAGGCGUGGUUCCGGAGCUAACGCGUAAGCGCCGCUGGGGAGUACGGCGAAGGUAAAA
rnacentral:rRNA from 1 species